rfam:Trichobilharzia regenti genome assembly, scaffold: TRE_scaffold0053416
CUACUGCUGAAGGGUCCCAAACCAGGACGAAACAGCUGUCCAGUAU